GAUGAACGCUAGCUACAGGCUUAACACAUGCAAGUCGCGGGGCAGCAUGGGGGUUGCUUGCAACCCCUGAUGGCGACCGGCGCACGGGUGAGUAACGCGUAUCCAACCUGCCCUUCACCACGGGAUAACCCGGCGAAAGUCGGACUAAUACCGUAUGUUGUCCAUUGACGGCAUCCGAUUUGGACGAAAGGCUUGGCGGUGAGGGAUGGGGAUGCGUCCGAUUAGCUCGACGGCGGGGUAACGGCCCACCGUGGCAACGAUCGGUAGGGGUUCUGAGAGGAAGGUCCCCCACACUGGAACUGAGACACGGUCCAGACUCCUACGGGAGGCAGCAGUGAGGAAUAUUGGUCAAUGGGCGGAAGCCUGAACCAGCCAAGUAGCGUGCAGGAUGGCGGCCCUAUGGGUUGUAAACUGCUUUUAUGCGGGGAUAAAGGAGCCCACGUGUGGG
rnacentral:rRNA from 1 species